CCUACGGGUGGCUGCAGUGGGGAAUAUUGGACAAUGGGCGAAAGCCUGAUCCAGCCAUGCCGCGUGUGUGAAGAAGGCCUUCGGGUUGUAAAGCACUUUCAGUGGGGAAGAAAGCCUUGGGGCUAAUACCCUCGAGGAAGGACAUCACCCACAGAAGAAGCACCGGCUAACUCCGUGCCAGCAGCCGCGGUAAUACGGAGGGUGCGAGCGUUAAUCGGAAUUACCGGGCGUAAAGCGCGCGUAGGCGGUCUGAUAAGCCGGUUGUGAAAGCCCCGGGCUCAACCUGGGAACGGCAUCCGGAACUGUCAGGCUAGAGUGCAGGAGAGGAAGGUAGAAUUCCCGGUGUAGCGGUGAAAUGCGUAGAGAUCGGGAGGAAUACCAGUGGCGAAGGCGGCCUUCUGGACUGACACUGACGCUGAGGUGCGAAAGCGUGGGUAGCAAACAGGAUUAGAUACCCCAGUAGUC
rnacentral:rRNA from 1 species